CAGUCGCCACGGGAAUACGAAGGGUGCAAGCGUUACUCGGAAUUACUGGGCGUAAAGCGUGCGUAGGUGGUGGUUUAAGUCCGUUGUGAAAGCCCUGGGCUCAACCUGGGAAUUGCAGUGGAUACUGGAUCACUAGAGUGUGGUAGAGGAUAGUGGAAUUUCCGGUGUAGCAGUGAAAUGCGUAGAGAUCGGAAGGAACAUCUGUGGCGAAGGCGGCCAUCUGGGACAACACUGACGCUGAGGCACGAAAGCGUGGGGAGCAAACAGGAUUAGAUACCCGCGUAGUCCCUGUCUCUUAUAC
rnacentral:rRNA from 1 species